UCCUCCCGCCCCUUCCCCGGACGCCUGGGUCCCUGGCCGCCGUCGCCAAGGCAACCGAGAGCAAGUCAGUCAAAGGGGCGGGGAGGGGGCGAGACCAGACCUGUCAAUCAAGCCGGGUCCCUGUCAAUCAAUUCCAGGGAACCUUUUAUCGUUUUUUUUAGGAACCUUCCGGAAAGCGAAUACAUCACCGUCAAUCCGGCGCCGGGUUUUUCCAGCCCCGUUCCGCCCAAGACGUAUUCCGGCGCCGGCGGAAUUUCCAGCCCCGUUCCGCCCAAGACGUAUUCCGGGCCGGCGGAAUUUCCAG